CACCAAAUGCUACGUAAGUGAUGGUAGUGAGUGCCAUGUGUCCUUGUCAUGUGAAUUAGACAAAAGUGGCAUUAAGUGUUAUGGGUGAGUCAUAAAGCACAUAAAGUGCAUGGGGAUACGUUUAAGGCCAAGGAAGUGAAUGCCUUUUUGCAUUUACAAUUGGUGCACAUUACUUUCUACUUGGAGAAUUCCCAUUUUUACAUUACUUCCAUUUUUGCUUCUUAAGAAACGUACCAGCACCCUUAAAUUAAACCAUUCUCUUUUAGCUAAUCAUUUUGUUUCUUAAGAAAAUUAGCAAUAACCAUGGUUGCCAAGCUCACGGCCAUGGCAGUCCACAAUAAGGCUCAAGAUUUUGAUAGCAAAAAAAAAAAAAAAUUAAAUUCCAAGGGUGCUUUACGUGUGCAAGGGAGCAACAGAGUUAGAAUUUAAAUUGAAGAAGAAGUGGUGCAAUUGGUGCAACUGAUUGUAGGAUCUGUCCUAAUCAAUUUAAGACCUACGAGCUUGAGAAGUAGACGUUGGACAUUUAGAUAGAGUUCAAGGUGCAGAUACUCGUUUUGGUGAUCCUCCAGCUUAGGAUUUCUACUUAGCUGUCUUGGAGUGCUCCAUUGUUCCGGAGCCUAGACUUUUGGUACAGGUCCUUUUGAUGUAUAUAUAUGUUAUCCAGGGGUACGGCGGGGCCCUGUCCCGUCAUAUGUCACUGUUGAUACUCUUAGAGGUCUGUAGACAUAUGGGUGGGUUGUGCAUAAGUUUGUUCAGCUGUGUCUAUACGAUGUGCUAUAGAUAUGCCCUUCUGUAAUGGCAGCCUUAUCGGCUUGCGUAUGGUGACGAUAUGUAUUGGCAGCCUUGUCGGCUUGCGUAUCAUGUUGAUAUAUUAUGGCAGCCUUGUCGGCUUGCUUAUAUGUUUGGGGAUGUUCCCGUACGUUGUGGCAGCCUUGUCGGCUCGUGUAUUAUGAUAUCUUUGGAUUG